rnacentral:rRNA from 2 species
CAGAGAGACCCGCGAAC